UACGUAGGUGGCAAGCGUUGUCCGGAUUUAUUGGGUUUAAAGGGUGCGUAGGCGGCCCUGUAAGUCAGUGCUGAAAUAUCCCGGCUUAACCGGGAGGGUGGCAUUGAUACUGCAGGGCUUGAAUGAAGUUGAAGUGGGCGGAAUUGACGGUGUAGCGGUGAAAUGCUUAGAUAUCGUCAAGAACACCGAUAGUGAAGACAGCUCACUAAGCUUAUAUUGACGCUGAGACACGAAAGCGUGGGUAGCAAACAGG
rnacentral:rRNA from 1 species